UACGUAGGGUGCAAGCGUUAAUCGGAAUUACUGGGCGUAAAGCGUGCGCAGGCGGUUUUGUAAGUCUGUCGUGAAAUCCCCGGGCUCAACCUGGGAAUUGCGAUGGAGACUGCAAGGCUAGAAUCUGGCAGAGGGGGGGGUAGAAUUCCACGUGUAGCAGUGAAAUGCGUAGAGAUGUGGAGGAACACCGAUGGCGAAGGCAGCCCCCUGGGUCAAGACUGACGCUCAUGCACGAAAGCGUGGGGAGCAAACGAG
rnacentral:rRNA from 1 species